rnacentral:tRNA from 1 species
GAGGCUAGAGCUCAGUGGUAGAGUGUGUGCUUAGCAUGCACAAGGUCCUGGUUUCAAUCCCCAGUACCUCCA